rnacentral:rRNA from 1 species
AUACGUAGGGUGCGAGCGUUAAUCGGAAUUACUGGGCGUAAAGCGUGCGCAGGCGGUUUUGUAAGACAGAGGUGAAAUCCCCGGGCUCAACCUGGGAACUGCCUUUGUGACUGCAAGGCUAGAGUACGGCAGAGGGGGAUGGAAUUCCGCGUGUAGCAGUGAAAUGCGUAGAUAUGCGGAGGAACACCGAUGGCGAAGGCAAUCCCCUGGGCCUGUACUGACGCUCAUGCACGAAAGCGUGGGGAGCAAACAGGAUUAGAUACCCCAGUAGUCC